UACGGGGGGGCAAGCGUUGUUCGGAAUUACUGGGCGUAAAGGGCUCGUAGGCGGCCAACUAAGUCAUACGUGAAAUCCCUCGGCUUAACCGGGGAACUGCGUCUGAUACUGGAUGGCUUGAGUGUGGGAGAGGAAUGCGGAAUUCCAGGUGUAGCGGUGAAAUGCGUAGAUAUCUGGAGGAACACCGGUGGCGAAGGCGGCAUUCUGGACCAUUACUGACGCUGAGGAGCGAAAGCCAGGGGAGCAAACGGG
rnacentral:rRNA from 1 species